AAAUCCCAGUAAUGAGAUUUGAGACCCUAAAUAAAUUUAAUUGUUUAUCUUGUUCAUCCAAUGUGAAAAUAAUGUCACCCCCAGCAUCAACCAGGAGAAAGAUUAUAGGGCUAUUUAGUGGAAAAACUCGGGGUUCUGACUCCAACGAGAACCAAGAAUAGACGAUGGGUGAUUGAGAGCGAGUGUUGUAUUCUUUGUCGUUUCUUAUUUUCCAAUUAGUUUGAAAAAAAUAAGCACGAAACUUCAAUUGAAUUCAUGUACUUCUUGUCAAGUGCCAACUCGCAUGGAUCCGAGAUUACAAUUUUCCAUACACCCUCAAGCUCACUAUCGAGCAGAUGAAAUUUGAAGUCAUAGAGCAAAAGCAUGUAAGGUGCAGUCUUUAUUCCUUUGGUAGUAUGAUAAUUCGAUGCAGCAGAGAGAGCCAGGUAAAGGAUACGGAAGUGUUGAUACCAUAAGGAGACUGGUUCAACAAUCCACAGAAUGGCCUUACAAUAAGUAUUAAGGGAGGCUUACCAACUAUUCUUCUACAAAGUACAGCAAACAGAAGAUUUACACAUGAAACUGCACAUCAUUGUCUACAUCACUGUCAAUGUUGCGGUAGAGUCGGUCUCUUCUCCAACAUUUCAUAGUGGAGUACAAAAUUAUCCUGCAUUCAAUAGUGUGUGUCAGUUUGAUACUACAUUUGAUGUGAAACUAUGGUCAAACAUGGCAAAUAAAUUAGAACGAUAUUCAUGGUAUCA